GGAGAGAUGGCAGAGUGGUCGAUUGCGCACGCUUGGAAAGCGUGUAAGGGUUAAUAGCCCUUCGAGGGUUCGAAUCCCUCUCUCUCCGCCA
rnacentral:tRNA from 2 species